UGUUUAUUUUGAUUUGAGUAUUCGAGGCAAAGAAUUACUGUAAAUUCAAUGACUGGAUUACUGGUACUGUGAAGCCUGCAAAUAAGGAAGUUGCUUAUGACACUGAAACAGAUAUGAAGAUUGAGGGAUUUGUCCAGCAGUGUCACAUUUUCUUCCAAAUCUGCUAUUCUUGGUGUGAAGAAUACAACCACAAAGCUUGAGAAGUUGAAGUUUUCUGAUGGUCAACAUGUCAUCAUACCGCAGCAUAUCCAAGUCCCCGAUGCGGUAAAGAAUGUAUUAAUCUUUGGAAGCCUUGAUGCAAGUUUUGGGGUCGGGGAGAACUGUGUAGUAGAUGGUGAAAGCAAUGGGAGCUUUAACCCUGUUACCGAUUCAGUUCACAAGGAACCUGUCAGCGAGCUUUCUUUAUAUGUGCACAUCGGUUUCAGUGGCUUCAGUCUACUAUUAAAGGUAUUCAAUAAUCCGAGGGAGCGGCCUUUCACCUUUGAGGAGAUAGAUGAAGUUCAAGAAAUGUUGGCAAACUUCAUUACCAGUGAUUGUCUUUGAUAUUUUCUUGUACUGAAUCUUAAAUUAUGGAUUCUAGCUAGU